rnacentral:pre_miRNA from 1 species
ACAUGUUGAAUGUUGGGGAACGAACGUCUAAGGUUUGGGUCAACGAUCUCAAUGUUGAUGCGUCCGCUUGUUGUUGAUGCUGCUCCAAAAGGUUCAACAUUGGGAUUUUAGCCCAAACAUCAGACGUCCCUUCCCCAUCGUUCAACAUCGUU